rnacentral:rRNA from 1 species
CAGCAGCCACGGGAAUACGAAGGGGGCUAGCGUUGUUCGGAUUUACUGGGCGUAAAGCGCACGUAGGCGGACUUUUAAGUCAGGGGUGAAAUCCCGGGGCUCAACCCCGGAACUGCCUUUGAUACUGGAAGUCUUGAGUAUGGUAGAGGUGAGUGGAAUUCCGAGUGUAGAGGUGAAAUUCGUAGAUAUUCGGAGGAACACCAGUGGCGAAGGCGGCUCACUGGACCAUUACUGACGCUGAGGUGCGAAAGCGUGGGGAGCAAACAGGAUUAGAUACCCGCGUAGUCCCUGUCUCUUAUAC